rnacentral:rRNA from 1 species
UACGUAGGCAGCAAGCGUUGUUCGGAGUUACUGGGCGUAAAGGGUGCGUAGGUGGCUCUAUAAGUAUGGUGUGAAAUCUCCCGCUUAACUGGGAGGGUGCGCCGUAGACUGUGGGGCUAGAGUGUGGGAGAGGAAAGUGGAAUUCCUGGUGUAGCGGUGAAAUGCGUAGAUAUCAGGAGGAACACCGGUGGUGUAAACGGCUUUCUUGGAC